rnacentral:rRNA from 1 species
UACAGAGGGGGCAAGCGUUGUUCGGAAUUACUGGGCGUAAAGGGCGCGUAGGCGGCCUUCUAAGUCGAACGUGAAAUCCCCGGGCUCAACCCGGGAACUGCGUCCGAUACUGGAAGGCUUGAAUCCGGGAGAGGGAUGCGGAAUUCCAGGUGUAGCGGUGAAAUGCGUAGAUAUAGGAAGGAAUACCAGUGGCGAAGGCGGCUUCCUGGAUCGACACUGACGCUAAGGCGCGAAAGCGUGGGGAGCAAACAGG